rnacentral:rRNA from 1 species
CUAUGAGUGCAUACCACCCUGAACGUGCCCGAUCUCGUCUGAUCUUGGAAGCUAAGCAGGGUCGGGCCUGGUUAGUACUUGGAUGGGAGGCUUCCUCUUUCAGCUGUGCUUCACAGUGAGAGGAUCCAUAGU